GUCCGACGAUGAAGCUCCUAGCUUGCUAGAGUCGAUUAGUGGCGCACGGGUGAGGAAUAUAUAGCUAAUGUGCCCCUUAGAGGGGGAUAACAGUUGGAAACGACUGCUAAUACCCCAUACUCCUUCUUACCACAAGGUAAGUCGGGAAAGUUUUUUCGCUAAGGGAUCGGGCUAUACGGUAUCAGCUUGUUGGUGAGGUAAUGGCUCACCAAGGCUAUGACGCCUAUCUGGUCUGAGAGGAUGAUCAGACACACUGGAACUGAGACACGGUCCAGACUCCUACGGGAGGCAGCAGUGGGGAAUAUUACACAAUGGAGGAAACUCUGAUGUAGCAACGCCGCGUGGAGGAUGACACACUUCGGUGCGUAAACUCCUUUUAUAUGGGAAGAUAAUGACGGUACCAUAUGAAUAAGCACCGGCUAACUCCGUGCCAGCAGCCGCGGUAAUACGGAGGGUGCAAGCGUUACUCGGAAUCACUGGGCGUAAAGCGCGCGCAGGCGGCUCAUUAAGUUGGAUGUGAAAUCCUAUGGCUCAACCAUAGAACUGCAUCCAAAACUGAUGAGCUAGAGUCUGGGAGGGGAAGAUGGAAUUAGUGGGUGUAGGGGGUAAAAUCCGUAGAGAUCACUAAGAAUACCAAAAGCGAAAGCGGAUCUUUUUGGAACAGUACUGACGCUGAAGGCGCGAAAGCGUGGGGAAGCAACAGGAUUAAAUAACCCUGGUAGUCCACGCCCUAAAC
rnacentral:rRNA from 1 species